GUAUACAACAGCAACACUGACUUCGCCUGGACGGCUGGAUGUAGGAUUGCCAACAGAAAGCCUUACAGUAGAAAGACGAAGUGAAAGUGAGGUGCCGUCGCCAGCUGCUGUUAUAAACGUCUCCCGCGUACCUCCGACGGCGGCGUCGCGACGCCAACUGAGGAGCUCAUUCGAUACUGGAACUCGGGCCGCUUUGAAACCGGCGCUACCGGCUGCAGGGCCGUACAGCUGCAUAAAAAGCUUGCGAAAACAAUACAAUGCAUCAACCGCGAAUGAAAUUUUCUUGCCCCUCUCUCCACCUUUCUGCCUUUCUAUCUGUUUCUUCGUUAUAUUUAUUUAUUUUAUAAUUAAUCAAUAUUUAAAAAAGA